rnacentral:rRNA from 1 species
CCCUUAGAUGUUCUGGGCUGCACGCGCGCUACACUGAUGCAUGCAACGAGUUUUCGACCUUGCCUGAAAAGGUUGGGUAAUCUGUUUAACAUGUGUCGUGAUGGGGAUAGACCAUUGCAAUUAUUGAUCUUCAACGAGGAAUUCCUAGUAAGCGCGAGUCAUCAGCUCGUGCUGAUUAUGUCCCUGCCCUUUGUACACACCGCCCGUCGCUCCUACCGAUUGAAUGUUCCGAUGAAUACCAUGGACUGAGAGUAUGAAUGGGUUCGCCUAUUUCUGCUUCUCGGGAAGUGGAGUAAAUCUUAACAUUUAGAGGAAGGAGAAGUCGUAACA